CAGACACUUCUCAAAAGAAGACAUUCAUGGAGCCAACAAACAUACAGAAAAAAAGCUCAACAUCACUGGUGGUUAGAUAAAUGCAAAUCAAAACCACAAUGAGAUACCACCUCACACCAGUCAGAAUGGCAAUUAUUAAAAAGUCAAGAAACAUGGCAAGGUCCACAUCGGUGGAAGAAAGCAAGCAAGCUAGGGUGGUAGAUUAUUACCUGUAAAAUUAUCUGGCCCUGGUGGGUUUUCUUUGUAUGUAUGAGAAAAUUUUUAAAUACUAAUUUAAUUUUUAUGAUAAUUGUGAUUUC
rnacentral:lncRNA from 10 species